GGGACACGUGGUAUCCUGUCUGAAUAUGGGGGGACCAUCCUCCAAGGCUAAAUACUCCUGACUGACCGAUAGUGAACCAGUACCGUGAGGGAAAGGCGAAAAGAACCCCGGCGAGGGGAGUGAAAAAGAACCUGAAACCGUGUACGUACAAGCAGUGGGAGCACCUUCGGGUGUGACUGCGUACCUUUUGUAUAAUGGGUCAGCGACUUAUAUUCUGUAGCAAGGUUAACCGUAUAGGGGAGCCGCAGGGAAACCGAGUCUUAACUGGGCGUUAAGUUGCAGGGUAUAGACCCGAAACCCGGUGAUCUAGCCAUGGGCAGGUUGAAGGUUGGGUAACACUAACUGGAGGACCGAACCGACUAAUGUUGAAAAAUUAGCGGAUGACUUGUGGCUGGGGGUGAAAGGCCAAUCAAACCGGGAGAUAGCUGGUUCUCCCCGAAAGCUAUUUAGGUAGCGCCUCGUGAACUCAUCUUCGGGGGUAGAGCACUGUUUCGGCUAGGGGGUCAUCCCGACUUACCAACCCGAUGCAAACUACGAAUACCGAAGAAUGUUAUCACGGGAGACACACGGCGGGUGCUAACGUCCGUCGUGAAGAGGGAAACAACCCAGACCGCCAGCUAAGGUCCCAAAGUCAUGGUUAAGUGGGAAACGAUGUGGGAAGGCACAGACAGCCAGGAUGUUGGCUUAGAAGCAGCCAUCAUUUAAAGAAAGCGUAAUAGCUCACUGGUCGAGUCGGCCUGCGCGGAAGAUGUAACGGGGCUAAACCAUGCACCGAAGCUGCGGCAGCGACACUAUGUGUUGUUGGGUAGGGGAGCGUUCUGUAAGCCUGCGAAGGUGACCUGUGAGGGUUGCUGGAGGUAUCAGAAG
rnacentral:rRNA from 1 species